rnacentral:rRNA from 1 species
GUGGGGAAUCUUCCGCAAUGGACGAAAGUCUGACGGAGCAACGCCGCGUGAGUGAAGAAGGUUUUCGGAUCGAAAAGCUCUUUCGUUAGGGACGAACGUGCUCUUUGUAAAUAAUGAGGAGUAAUGACGGUACCUAAAUAAGAAGCCACGGCUAACUACGUGCCAGCAGCCGCGGUAAUACGUAGGUGGCAAGCGUUGUCCGGAAUUAUUGGGCGUAAAGCGCGCGCAGGCGGGAUAUCAAGUCUGUCUUAAAAGUGCGAGGCUCAACCUCGUGAGGGGACAGAAACUGGUAUUCUUGAGUGUCGGAGAGGAAAGUGGAAUUCCAAGUGUAGCGGUGAAAUGCGUAGAGAUUUGGAAGAACACCAGUGGCGAAGGCGACUUUCUGGACGAUGUCUGACGCUGAGGCGCGAAAGCUAGGGGAGCGAACGGGAUUAGAUACCCUGGUAGUCC